AGAGGGAGCCUGAGAAACGGCUACCACAUCCAAGGAAGGCAGCAGGCACGCAAAUUACCCACUCCCGGCACGGGGAAGGUAGUGACAAAAAAUAACGAUACGGGACUCAUAUGAGGCCCCGUAAUCGGAAUGAGUACACUUUAAAUCCUUUAACAAGGAUCCAUUGGAGGGCAAGUCUGGUGCCAGCAGCCGCGGUAAUUCCAGCUCCAAUAGCGUAUAUUAAAGUUGUUGCGGUUAAAAAGCUCGUAGUUGGUUCUGCGUGCUACGCUGUCGGUUCGCCGCCUGCCGGUGUAACUGGCAUGCCGUGGCAUGUCCUGUCGGUGGCGUUCGGGAGCUUCGCCUAGGUGUCUCCUCCGGCUCGAAAGGGUUGGUGGUUGUACAACCGGGAGCCUCCCCGUUCGCCUACUCUAUCCUACCUAGGUGCUCUUCACCGAGUGUCGAGGUAGGCCGACACGUUUACUUUGAACAAAUUAGAGUGCUCAAAGCAGGCUGAAAUUUCUGCCUGAAUAGUGGUGCAUGGAAUAAUAAAACAGGACCUCGGUUCUAUUUUGUUGGUUCUUAGGAACACGAGGUAAUGAUCAAUACGGACAGGCGGGGGCAUUCGUAUUGCGACGUUAGAGGUGAAAUUCUUGGAUCGUCGCAAGACGCACAAGAGC
rnacentral:rRNA from 1 species